rnacentral:rRNA from 1 species
CAUGCAAGUCGAACGGCAGCACGGAGCUUGCUCUGGUGGCGAGUGGCGAACGGGUGAGUAAUAUAUCGGAACGUACCCUGGAGUGGGGGAUAACGUAGCGAAAGUUACGCUAAUACCGCAUACGAUCUACGGAUGAAAGUGGGGGAUCGCAAGACCUCAUGCUCGUGGAGCGGCCGAUAUCUGAUUAGCUAGUUGGUAGGGUAAAAGCCUACCAAGGCAUCGAUCAGUAGCUGGUCUGAGAGGACGACCAGCCACACUGGAACUGAGACACGGUCCAGACUCCUACGGGAGGCAGCAGUGGGGAAUUUUGGACAAUGGGCGAAAGCCUGAUCCAGCAAUGCCGCGUGAGUGAAGAAGGCCUUCGGGUUGUAAAGCUCUUUUGUCAGGGAAGAAACGGUGAGGGCUAAUAUCCCUUGCUAAUGACGGU